CAAAUGUGAAAGAGAUGUAAAAAACAAAAAACAAAAAAAACAAAAAAAAAAAACACUAUUUUCCCCUACGAAACAUACUGUAUAUUUCGAAAGAAGAAAAGUUAAAAGAUAUUUGAAGAUUGCAGGGGCAAAACAAAAACCUACCAGGGCUCAGCACUUAAGCACUUUUCCACAUCCAGGGUCAAAGCAGCAGUGACUACAUGGACUUUUAAGUGCGGUAUGAAAUGCAACAUUACACUUACAAACAGUACUGUCAAACCUCAAAUGCUUUAUUUCUUCAGAUGCUUUUUCGUGCACAUGAUACUAGUAGACACUUUUCUCUUUAUAUUUACUGAUAGUGAAAAUCAUACGCAAUAAAAUAUUGAUGUUUGAAGGCAGUGGUCACCAAUUGGUUAAAAAAAACUAUGAAAUGUAAACUGAAUUGUUAUAUCUCUAUCCUUUUUGCUUUUCUCUGUGUUUUUAAUGUAUUGAAUAAAUCUCAUAAAUAGAAAGAACAAAAAUCUAGAAAUUUUUCAAAGCUAGUACUCUUUCUCCUUAUAAAUGUAUACAAUUUUAAUCUUUUUUCAAAUUUAUUUAACUGUACCUACUGUACUUAUUGUAGAUUCUAUGAUGCAGUCAAGUCAUAACCCAAGGAUUUAUGAAUUUGAGAUUACUGACCUGUUUUCUUCAUAUUGCAUUCACAUCAAUAUUGGUGAAUUUGUUGUUUAGCUUUUCAUUCAACCAAAAAAUACUCCCUCAAGAAAGCUCCAUUUUUAUCAUAAACAUUUCAACACAAACAACAUUAGAACAAGUCUGCCAUGCUAAAAAUAAUUUAAAGACUUAUCUCUGAAAAUGGUAUCCAGAAACGCAGGUGUUCCCAGUAAUGCAGCUUCAAAAAUAAAAUGUGCUAUUUAUGACAUGAAAUUCAUAACUUUUGGAAGGGUAUAUUUAUGACAGCAUAAAAAAUAAAUUCUGUGCUAUAAAGAAGAUCCAACAAAAUUAACCAUAUAAGCACAGAAAAUGGAGAAACAUAGUUACUGAAUCUACUCUUGUCAUUAACAUUUUCAAAAAACAAAAUGCAUAUUGUAAUAUUAGGUACAUGACACUUGCAUGUUGAUAUGCCUAUAUACUUACAAAGUAUUCAAUGUGUACUUAGCGGCGUUUAAAGUAUGUCAUGUACAACUCUUAUAAACAUUUUUACAGGGUUCCCAUUUGCACUUCAUUUUUCAGUAUAGUCUUGUCAGAAAAAAAAUUGUCCGAUAAAUAUGGAAAAAUAAAAUUUGAAUUUUAGUUAUCUGUUGGACAUUACUGAAUUGUCUAUUCAUUUAGUACAUUUCUUAACCUUGAAAACAGACAUUGAAAGAUGGAACUUUCUUUUUUCCAGGGACAGGUCAUUAAAAUGAUGGUACAAAACAUUCUUUACUCCAAAAACAUUAUUUUGAAUACCUUUUAUUCAACUGCAUACAUUAUCCAUCCAUUUUAGUUUUCCUCGAUGACGCCCAUUUUACUUGUAAAUUUCUAAAUGGAGGUUUUAAAAAUUAAGCAUCAGUAAAAUAAAUGUUAUCUAAUUUGUACAACAUUUAAUCAAUAUUCCUUGGAAUAUAUGAACCUUGUAAUACGAUGACUAAGGGUUAAAAAAAAAUGUUGCUGACUUAGGGAAAUUUGCUUGAGAUUGCCAAAAUUUUGAAACUCUGUAAAGGUAAUUUUACAUUCACUUACGUGUGUUUACUAAUGUUGAGUAGGAACAGAAGCAAAAAUACCUAAACCUAUUUUUUUUAACCUUCACACUCUAACCAGUAUUAUAUAUUUCAGCUACCUAAGAUAAUGCAAUUAAUCAUAUAUCCAACCUAAGCUUCUGCCAAUAAGGAUUUCAGAUAAGCUUUUAAAUUUAUGGAGGAUUUUCUUUGUGUCUUUGGAAGUUCACUUACCAUAAAGUAUUUUAUAGUCUACUUUAAAUAACAGAUUUUGUUAUACAGGGUAAGCCAAAGGCUGUACAAGACUUAGUGUCAUUGGGUCUCAUAUUUGUGUUAGACCAUGAAAUAUUCCAUUAAAAUUUAUCUGUAA
ensembl:lncRNA